UUGAGCUGCCCUGUAGCUAGGUAGAUGUUGUACUGAGCACCUGACAGAACUGUGGUUAGGUGAAGGGAAAGCCUCUCAUAUGAUUUUUGAAUGCUCACAUUUCAUUCCUCAUUACCACCAACUCACUCCCAGAAGCUGACUUACAGGGUAAAAAAAAACUAGCUGAUGUGAGUAAUUCUCCAACGACUUGACCAUGAAGCGGAAACAAAAGACAAAACAUCUGGAAAUCACAUAUCCCCCCCAAUCUGAAAAGACUUCACGAGGCAGCACUGAAAGGGACCCUGGAAUAUCAACUGCCCAGUCAGCUGGAAAGCUAAACAGCAUGGUAGAGGACAGAGGUUUCUGCACGUCUCAAGCAGAUGUUCCUGAGACAGAACAGCCACACUCUUGUUGACGAAGAUGGUACAGUAGCGACAAAGGGAUGCCUGAACGUGGACAAGAGGCAUCCAUCAGUGCCUCACAGAAGCUCCCUGUCUUCGAUUCUCUGAGACGCCUCUGCUCCAGUUCAUAGAGCUCCAGCAGACUCUCUCGCCCUACCAGAAUAACUGUUUUCAUUACCAUUUAGCCAACGAACCCUGUACGCCAGAGAUACAUAGGAGGAAGGAAAGGCAAAUGAAAAUUUACUACACACGUGUCCAAAGAAAAACGGAGGUGACUGACUUAGGGAAUGCAGAGAAAGGUUUGACAUCUUCACCAAGGAACACGAGGGUACAGGAAAUAACCUUUUCUGGGAAAAUCCCGGUUGAGACUGACCUGCCUAUCUUAUCACCUUGGGAUCUCCUAACUGAGAGUGAGUGUGGCUGGGACGUAGGGGAUGAAGAGGACGUGGUGGAGGUGCUGAAGGAGGAGGAGCCUGACAGCCCAGCCGAGCUUCCCCCACUGGAGGAGAGCCCCAGGGCCAGGCCACCGGAGUGGCUGCUGAGCCCUGAGAGUGGCUACAAGUGCUUGGGCUGCUGCCGUGUCUUCCCCAGCAAAGAUGCCCUGCAGUGGCACGUGCAGCAUGGGGUGGAGGAGGGCUUCAGCUGCCGCGCCUUCCACCUUGCCUUUGCCUGGCUGAAGAGCAAAAGGAGUAUGAAAAAUAGGAGACAGAAGAAAAGCAUCCAUGCAAGCAGAAAAGGAAAACGCUUUCACAGGAGGAAUUGCUCAGGGAAAUAGAUGUUUUCCAGCCCCCUUUAAAAAGAGCAAGUGAAGUAGGCACA